CUUACAGCGUGUCUGGUUUAGGCCAGAGGUGCAUUAGUUCACCCCUAGUAUGAAACUAUAUACCACGUUUUUAGUUUAUUAGAACUUGUACCUACACUCAUUGGUCAUUUUAUCAGAAACACCUGUCAUACAGGUGCACUUGGUAGGUUUACAAUUACUGACUGAUGCCCAUUUGUUACACUCCAGGAAAGAGACCACCACUGGAUUGCUGACCAGAUAUUAUUUAGGUGGUGGACCAUUCUCGGCACAGCAGUGGCACUGACAUCAAGCCCGUGCGCAGACAUUUUUUAAGAGGCAUAGGUUCAAAGGAGAGAAGCAGCAACCUAAAUGCUGCCAGUGCACUGUCAGUUUUGUGCUCUCAACAUCAGAGACUCGCAGGUCAGUCGGGGCAACAGUGGGACCUGUGAAACCAUGUCAUGCCUGAGCUGAUCUCCAUGUUAUUUCUGAACAGUCCAGUUCCCAUUCCUUUGAUGUUUCUUGGAAUGGCAUCCGGCACUGAAGAAACACCGAGACAGUUACUACCUCAACUACUGCUCCAGCACCACUGACAGCUACUGUUUCAAUCGUCAGUCCAGUGCAAAUGACAGUUGCUAUAAGGCUAAAGCAGCAACAAGUAAUGGAAGCUUAUACUUCACCAGGGCUAUGGUUGCUCAGUCCUGGUAUCCAAGUGAGUCUGACGCUUCUCUCUGAUGGAUCUGACACCUCUAGGUCAGUAGGGGGGUCAGGACGGUCUGAGAGAAGCAGAGGAAAGAGAAGUGGAGGCAGUCGGUGCUCACAGCUGUUCAUCCAGUAGGUCUGGGGCUUUGGUGGGCCAACUGGAGGAUUACAGGGCAGAAUAAGAGGAAGUCCAAUAAACACGGACACCGG